rnacentral:rRNA from 1 species
GAUGAACGCUGGCGGCGUGCCUAAUACAUGCAAGUCGAGCGAACGGACGAGAAGCUUGCUUCUCUGAUGUUAGCGGCGGACGGGUGAGUAACACGUGGAUAACCUACCUAUAAGACUGGGAUAACUUCGGGAAACCGGAGCUAAUACCGGAUAAUAUUUUGAACCGCAUGGUUCAAAAGUGAAAGACGGUCUUGCUGUCACUUAUAGAUGGAUCCGCGCUUCAUUAGCUAGUUGGUAAGGUAACGGCUUACCAAGGCAACGAUGCAUAGCCGACCUGAGAGGGUGAUCGGCCACACUGGAACUGAGACACGGUCCAGACUCCUACGGGAGGCAGCAGUAGGGAAUCUUCCGCAAAGGGCGAAAGCCUGACGGAGCAACGCCGCGUGAGUGAUGAAGGUCUUCGGAUCGUAAAACUCUGUUAUUAGGGAAGAACAUAUGUGUAAGUAACUGUGCACAUCUUGACGGUACCUAAUCAGAAAGCCACGGCUAACUACGUG